AGGAUCAUUACCGAACCGUCGACAUGAGUUGUUGCUGGUCCUCAAACGGGGGCAUGUGCACGCUCUGUUUACACAUCCACUCACACCUGUGCACCUUCUGUAGUUCUACGGUCUGGGGGGGACUCUGUCUUCCUUCUGUAGCUCUACAACUUUACACACACACACGCUGUAGCAAAGUCUUAUGGAAUGCAUGACGCGCUUAACGCAAAACAAUACAACUUUCAGCAACGGAUCUCUUGGCUCUCGCAUCGAUGAAGAACGCAGCGAAAUGCGAUAAGUAAUGUGAAUUGCAGAAUUCAGUGAAUCAUCGAAUCUUUGAACGCACCUUGCGCCCUUUGGCCAUUCCGAAGGGCAUGCCUGUUUGAGUAUCAUGAACACCUCAACUCUCAUGGUUUCCCGUGAUGAGCUUGGAUGUUGGGGGUUUUGUUGGCUGCGGUCAGCUCCUCUCAAAUGAAUCAGCUUGCCAGUGUUUGGCGGCAUUGCGAGUGUGAUAACUAUCUACGCUCGUGGUUGUCGACCAGGUAACCUCCAGCGAUGGAGGUUUGCUGGAGCUUAUAAACGUCUCUCCUCGGUGAGGACAUUUUUUCAAGUUCGAUCUCAAAUCAGUAGGACUACCCGCUGAACUUAAGCAUAUCAAUAAGCGGAGGAAAAGAAACUAC
rnacentral:rRNA from 1 species